AUUGAACGCUGGCGGCAGGCCUAACACAUGCAAGUCGAGCGAGCGGCGGAGGGGUGCGUAAUGUAUAUGGACUGCCCGUUACCUGGGCAUAACAACUGGAUACGGUAGCUAAUACCGCAUUAUAUCCGCUCACCCAUCUGGGAUUAGCUGGUAGGUGAGGUAAUGGCUCACCUAGGCGACGAUCCCUAGCUGGUCUGAGAGGAUGAUCGGCCACACUGGGACUGAGACACGGCCCAGACUCCUACGGAGGCAGCAGUGGGGAAUAUUGCACAAUGGGCGCAAGCCUGAUGCAGCCAUGCCGCGUGUAUGAAGAAGGCCUUAGGGUUGUAAAGUACUUUCAGUCGGGAGGCGUUACCGACAGAAGAAGCACCGGCUAACUCCGUGCCAGCAGCCGCGGUAAUAC
rnacentral:rRNA from 1 species